ACUGACUGACCCCUCUGGCCCUGCCAGUAUUAUAGUAUUAUACCCACUGACUGACUCCUCUGGCCCUGCCAGUAUUAUAGUAUUAUACCCACUGACUGACCCCUCUAGCACUGCCAGUAUUAUAGUAUUAUACCCACUGACUGACCCCUCUGGCACUGCCAGUAUUAUAGUAUUAUACCCACUGACUGACCCCUCUGGCCCUGCCAGUAUUAUAGUAUUAUACCCACUGACUGACCCCUCUGGCACUGCCAGUAUUAUAGUAUUAUACCCACUGACUGACCCCUGUGGCACUGCCAGUAUUAUAGUAUUAUACCCACUGACUGCCCUCUGGCACUGCCAGUAUUAUAGUAUUAUACCCACUGACUGCCCUCUGGCACUGCCAGUAUUAUAGUAUUAUACCCACUGACUGCCCUCUGCCACUGCCAGUAUUAUAGUAUUAUACCCACUGACUGCCCUCUGCCACUGCCAGUAUUAUAGUAUUAUACCCACUGACUGCCCUCUGGCACUGCCAGUAUUAUAGUAUUAUACCCACUGACUGACCUCUGGC